GCCUGGGUGGCUCAGUUGGUUGGGCAUCCGACUUCGGCUCGGGUGGUGAUCUCGCAGUCUGUGAGUUCGAGCCCCGCGUCGGGCU
rnacentral:tRNA from 1 species